GCUCGGGCUGGGCCGCUCGGGCUGGGCCGCUCGGGCUGGGCCGCUCGGGCUGGGCCGCUCGGGCUGGGCCGCUCGGGCUGGGCCGCUCGGGCU
rnacentral:tRNA from 1 species